ensembl:lncRNA
AAAAACAAUUUCAUUCUUGAACUGACUGUUGGUGUCAAGAUACCUGUUUAUCAGUCACAAUCUCUCCGUACACCUGCAGGAGCGUGGUUGAUGUUGUGGUGGUGAAGGACAGGUGUGCAGAGACAUCAGCAGCUGUGGGCACAUCUGGACCAGCGCUCUCACGAGGAGGAGACAGGAAGGAUGCCAGAGCACUUCCUCUAGUAUCCCUCCAUCAAGCAGCUGUGUGUCUCAUAAAGGCCAUAUGUGUAGCGGCCCCUCGGAUAUAUUGAUCAAGACGCAGAGAGUUUCAAACGGGUGUCAAUUUAUUUCUUCCUCUCAACGAGCACCAUGCACCAUGAACACCGUGAAAACUACAGAAUAAACAGAAGAAAUACAAAAUGCUUCUAUUAAAUCACAAUGUAAACUCUUUCUUUACAAGAUUCAAAUGGAUGAACAUGAUAAAUUACUAAAUUUCCUUCAUACCUCAUUCCGCUUCUCCAAGGGCGCUAAUCAAAGAGUUUCUGCCAUCAGCUACCAUGCUCUCUAGCUCGACACACCCUCACAGUUCAGAGCUCUUAGAAAUAACAUGUACAAGCAAUACAAAAAUAAUAAAG